CCUCUAAAAAUCCUAUGGCAAUCCUCCAUUUCAGAAGGGCGCUUAAUAUUAGUUCAAAUAAACAAAUAACAAAUGAAGUCUGCUCUUUUCCCUGUCCCUUUUGUAGAAAAUUUGUACUGGCGACUAUUGAGUAUUGACCACUGGCCGUUUCUCAACUCUUUGUGAAUUCCGAUGACACUAGCUACCAAUCUACCAUCAGACCUUUUUAACUUCUUAUUAAAGGCCAUUCAUAGGAAGGGAUACACCUCAUCUGCUACCACGUAGAUGAAACUACCCAUAAACCACUUUUUUCAUAGGGCAAGUCACUCCAAAAGAGUCUCAUCACAACUGUAAUUCUCUCCCCUCCUCGGUAACUCUACCUCUCUCUUCACCUCUCCAGUGGCCUCUCCUCGUCGACCACUCGCCCUCCCUCUCCCCGGCGGGCAGAGCACGGGUGGUCGGUUGGCGGAGCUCGGGCGAUGGUGGAUCUGGCGACACGAUGGUGGUGGAAGGCGGACGGUCGGCAGCGAUGGAGCCCGCGGUGGAGCUCGGCGGACGGCGGACCGGUCGUCUUCCUCUCCUCGUGCGUGUUGAGACCCGAGAGCUACGUACCCUGCUGAGGAUACGCGCUUCUCUAUCGGGCACAUGGUGCAGCCUCCGUGGCGCUAGCGAUCCGGCGUGGCGGGCUGAGGCAUGACACCAACUCAGCCGACUGUGAAUGCCCUAAAGAAAUCCACAGGAUUCGCUAUUAGCAACUUGGCAUUUCGCAACAGUGAGAAAAACGAAUGCACGGAGUUAACUGGACCCUGGCCAACAACCUUAGCUUAGAUACAGCGACGAUGAUGAAAAUAAUCUUUGUUGCCGAAUUUGUGGUUAGUUUUAUUUUUCAAAUAAAGCAUCUGAGUCGUGCUGCGUUCACGAUGGAUGAGUAGGAAUGCUGAAUUAGUAAUUUUGCUUGUUUUCAGUUAGUCGUUUUCAGUAGUAGCUGAGAUCGUGUUUGAUCGAUCGUGGGAUGGCGCGGUCAAAUCGGAUCGGUGCGGUCUUAGCGGAUACUUUCUGUUUUUGUAACAAACUCCUGGAGUUCGGAGUAUAAUAAAGAGGAGAACCGAGAAAAGCCGCAUGACGUUACGCAGCACCAAAAACUUUGCCUCUGUUCGUCAGUUUUCUUCAGUUACUGUAGCUGAACGAAAAUACGCUGCUG
rnacentral:lncRNA from 1 species